rnacentral:snoRNA from 1 species
CAGAUACAGUGAUGAUGGCAUAGUUCAGCAGAACAUCCUGUGACGAGCAGUUUUUUCUUUCGCUCCUAUCUGAUGUGUCUG